AUGGGAACGCGAAGAACCUUACCUAGACUUGACAUCUCCUGAAUAGUGUAGAGAUACAUGAAGCCCUUCGGGGCAGGAAGACAGGUGGUGCAUGGUUGUCGUCAGCUCGUGUCGUGAGAUGUUGGGUUAAGUCCCGCAACGAGCGCAACCCUUAUUACUAGUUGCUACCAUUAAGUUGAGCACUCUAGUGAGACUGCCCGGGUUAACCGGGAGGAAGGCGGGGAUGACGUCAAAUCAUCAUGCCCCUUAUGUCUAGGGCAACACACGUGCUACAAUGGUGAGUACAGAUAGAUGCGAUACCGCAAGGUGGAGCCAAACUCUAAAACUCAUCCCAGUUCGGAUUGUAGGCUGCAACUCGCCUACAUGAAGUUGGAGUUGCUAGUAAUCGCGAAUCAGAAUGUCGCGGUGAAUACGUUCCCGGG
rnacentral:rRNA from 1 species